rnacentral:rRNA from 1 species
AGUGAACGCUGGCGGUAGGCCUAACACAUGCAAGUCGAACGGCAGCACAGUAAGAGCUUGCUCUUACGGGUGGCGAGUGGCGGACGGGUGAGGAAUACAUCGGAAUCUACUUUUUCGUGGGGGAUAACGUAGGGAAACUUACGCUAAUACCGCAUACGACCUACGGGUGAAAGCAGGGGAUCUUCGGACCUUUCGCGAUUGAAUGAGCCGAUGUCGGAUUAGCUAGUUGGCGGGGUAAAGGCCCACUAAGGCGACGAUCCGUAGCUGGUCUGAGAGGAUGAUCAGCCACACUGGAACUGAGACACGGUCCAGACUCCUACGGGAGGCAGCAGUGGGGAAUAUUGGACAAUGGGCGCAAGCCUGAUCCAGCCAUACCGCGUGGGUGAAGAAGGCCUUCGGGUUGUAAAGCCCUUUUGUUGGGAAAGAAAAGCAGCAGGUUAAUACCCCGCUGUUCUGACGGUACCCAAAGAAUAAGCACCGGCUAACUUCGUG